rnacentral:misc_RNA from 1 species
AAGUCGUAACAAGGUUUCCGUAGGUGAACCUGCGGAAGGAUCAUUAAUGAAAUGAUGGAUUUUUGAGGUUUUCCCUGAAAAAUAAUUCACCACUUGUGCAUUGUUAUUAGACAUACUUUGGUUAGAGCUUUGAUUCCAAAACAAUUGGGAUCAACUUCUUGCUGACUCUAUCCUUUCUGAGGACAGUCGGCUAUGAAGCGGCCUACCAAGGUUUUUUAUCAAACACAUUUAAUUUAUCUGACCUAAACUAUUAUAAUAAAAUCAUAACUUUCAACAACGGAUCUCUUGGCUCUC